UGAAACAGCGGAGACCAGCUUUACUGAGUCUGAGUCUGCCAUUAGCUCCCACAAAGAGCACCACCACCACCAUCAACGGGGACCUGGCCGUCAUCGAGAUAAAGCCGGUCGUUCCAAUGGACAUGCAGUAGCUAAGCCC